UCAAGGUCCAAUAGGUUGAAGAAUGUAUG
rnacentral:piRNA from 1 species